rnacentral:rRNA from 1 species
UGGCGGCGUGCCUAACACAUGCAAGUUGAGCGAUUUACUUCGGUAAAGAGCGGCGGACGGGUGAGUAACGCGUGGGUAACCUACCCUGUACACACGGAUAACAUACCGAAAGGUAUGCUAAUACGGGCUAAUAUAUUUGAGAGGCAUCUCUUGAAUAUCAAAGGUGAGCCAGUACAGGAUGGACCCGCGUCUGAUUAGCUAGUUGGUAAGGUAACGGCUUACCAAGGCGACGAUCAGUAGCCGACCUGAGAGGGU